rnacentral:rRNA from 1 species
CAGCCGCCGCGGGAAUACAGAGGGUGCAAGCGUUAAUCGGAAUUACUGGGCGUAAAGCGCGCGUAGGUGGUUUGUUAAGUUGGAUGUGAAAGCCCCGGGCUCAACCUGGGAAAUGCAUCCAAAACUGGCAAGCUAGAGUACGGUAGAGGGUGGUGGAAUUUCCUGUGUAGCGGUGAAAUGCGUAGAUAUAGGAAGGAACACCAGUGGCGAAGGCGACCACCUGGACUGAUACUGACACUGAGGUGCGAAAGCGUGGGGAGCAAACAGGAUUAGAUACCCCCGUAGUCCCUGUCUCUUAUAC